CCUUUUUCUACCUUCAUUCAUUGGUUCAUUGGUUCAUUGGUUUGUUCCUUCCUCCCUCCCUCCCUCCUUCCUUCCUUCCUCCUUCCUCCUUCUUUCUUCCCUCCCUCCCUUCUUCCUUCCUUCCUUUCUUCCUUUCUCUCUUUUCCUUUCUUCUUUCUCCCUUCCUCUCUUGCUUCCUCUCCUCUCUUUCCUCCUUUCAUUCUUGUUCUCCUUUCUUUCCUCUUCUCUUUCUUUCUUUUCUUCCUUCCUUCCUUCCUUCCUCUCUCUCUCU
rnacentral:lncRNA from 1 species